rnacentral:rRNA from 1 species
CCUACGGGAGGCUGCAGUGGGGAAUAUUGGGCAAUGGAGGAAACUCUGACCCAGCAACGCCGCGUGAAUGAUGAAGGUCUUCGGUUUGUAAAGUUCUUUUCUAAGGGAAGAAGAAAGCGACGGUACCUUAGGAAUAAGCCUCGGCUAACUACGUGCCAGCAGCCGCGGUAAUACGUAGGCGGCAAGCGUUAUCCGGAAUGACUGGGCGUAAAGGGUGCGUAGGUGGUUUGGCAAGUUUGUAGCGUAACUCCGAGGCUUAACCUCCGCACUACUACCAAAACUGUUGGGCUGGAGUGCAGGAGGGGCAAAUGGAAUUCCUAGUGUAGCGGUGGAAUGCGUAGAUAUUAGGAGGAACACCAGUGGCGAAGGCGAUUUACUGGACUGUAACUGACGCUGAGGCACGAAAGCGUGGGGAGCAAACAGGAUUAGAUACCCCAGUAGUC